ensembl:lncRNA
GUAUGGCUGUCAUGUAGGAGCUGAGAUUCAUAUCAAGGUCUUUCCUGAUGCCAAUGAGGCAUAAUGAUAUCAUGGUCAGGAUGUUAACCUUGAAGUCAUGGAACUAGCUUGGUGACUUAUGUCUUGGGCAAAUUAUUUAAUCAUGUUGGACCUAAAUUUUCUCAUGGAUGGCAUGACCUUUAAGGUCCUUCUUGAGACAGCUAGGUGGCACAGUGGAUAAAAUACCAGGCUUGGAGUCAGGAAAACUCAUCCCCCUCAAUUCAAAUCCAGCCUCAAACACUCCCUUGAUAUGUGAGCCCGGACAGAUCACUUAAUCCUGUUGACCUCAGUUUUCUCAUGUGUAAAAUGAAGGGGUUGGACAAGAUGCCCUCUAGAGUGCUUCUCAGCUGUAGUCCUAGUAUUCUACAUCUAGCAUUCUAUCUCCUACAUGUGCCUCUCCUAAAAUAAAGAGUUGUCUUCAACAUGGAGGACCAAGAGUUUCGCCAUUGGACUCUGUACUUGACCAUAACCCAUUGAACCUGUGGAAUUGGGGUGUGAGAUUUGGAGUCAGAGGAGAUGGACUCUAAUCCAGUUCUGUCCAGUCUUUACCUCUAUGACUUUGGAGAAAUCACUUGGCCUUCUCUUGGCCUCAGGCUCCUCUUAGUAAAGUUCUAGCUCUUAAUCUAGAAUCCUAUGAUCAGUGCUCUGAAGGACAAUGGAGAUGGCGGGGCAUACUUAUCAGCCAUGAUCCCAGAGCUGGGAGGAUUAGAUAACAUACUGGAUGACAGAAUCCAGGCCAGGAAAGAUAUCCUCAGGUCCUAAAAUCAUGGAAACUCAGAUGCAGAGAGCAUCUAAUCCAGCCCACAUCUACACGAUCCUUAACAAGUUGCAUUCACUCCCAUUACAAGCCAGGCAAGCCAAGAACACUAAUCGCCUUCAAGCCCAGGUUUACAGGACAUACUCCACUGCGGACAGAAACCAGGCAACAUUGCCAGGAGAAUCACUUUGGUGCCUGAUAGGAGGAUGGAUUGAAGUAAAUUGGAGCCUUGAGACAAGGAGACCAACCAGAAGCUCAGAAGUUCAAAUGAGAGGCAAGAAGGAGCUUCACCAAGAUGGUGACUGUGGGAAUGGAGAGAAGGGAAUGUACUCUAGAGACGAUGUCGAGGAAUAAUGAACUGGAGGGAUUCCACAUGAACUGGAAUGACCUCCAGGAAGUGAUUCAGAGUGAAAGGAGCAGAACCAGGAGAACAUUUUACACAGAGACUGAUACACCGUGGAACAAUCAAACAUAAUGGACUUCUCUACUAGCAGCAAUGCAAUGAUCCAGGACAAUUCUGAGGGACUUAUGAGAAAGAACGAAAUCCACAUCCAGAGAAAGAACCGUGGGAGCAGAAACACAGAAGAAAAACAUAGGAUUGAUCACAUGGUCCAAUGGGGACAGGAUUGUGGAUGUAGACUCUAAGCAAUUACCCUAAUGCAAAUAUCAAUAAUAUGGAAAUAGAUCUUGAUCAAUGACAUGUAAAAUCCAGUGGAAUUGCUUGUUGGCUAUAGAAGGUAGGGAAGGAGGGGAGGGAGAGAACAUGAAUCAUG